CCAACCUACAGAAUACGGAGCGAGUACUCCAGCAAUGCCACCUAUACCGUUUACAAUAGCCAUAACUGUAGCCGAAUAGUUGGGUGUCAUAUCGUUCGCAGUAAGCUUUAUUCCUGCAUAAAAACCGCCCAUGAGUGCCAUUGAGAUGGAAAAACAUAAAAUUAUCCACACUGUAUCGCAACCAAUAUAUACUGCUAUAACCAUGAAGAGCCCAGAAGGUGUGGCAGCUAAUGUGCGAAAAAUUUGUGCGACAAUAUACAUUUAAUUAAGCGCCAUCUCUCCACAUACAUACCUACGAAUGCCAUCAGUUUUCGCAUAACCGUCACGGAGAAUAUUUCAUAGUUGACUAGCAAAUCCGAGACCACACCGGAUAGCACAGACAGCAACCAAUUCAUAAUAUACGGCAUUUGAUUCUGCAAGCCAUUGAUCACAUUUUCAAUUAACGGUUGCUGUUUGGCGUCUCUUAUAAAUUGUGGAACCUCAGCCGCAUGUUGCAGCUGUGUCCAAUCAUAUUGUAUGGUGGCCGAAAUGAGCGCCCACAUAGAUAUUGCUUUUCCCUCACUUUGAUGAAUGGAUUUUCCUCUGGCGUAUUGUAACACAUGUAUGUCUAAUUUGUGGAAGAAGAUCGACUUAUUUUGCUUUUAAAGUCAUGCUUUUUAGUGUACUUACGAAACCAAUGAACCAAAGUAAUGUGCAUACACCAAAGUAAUAGAAAAUCAACGACCAAUCGUAGCGAUGUAAUAGCAAGCCGGCUAUAAAAUUACCCAUUGAAAUGC